GGUGAGGUGCUGGAGUGGUCGAUCAGGUUAGUCUUGAAAACUAAUACAGUCAUUUUUGGCUGUCGUGGGUUCGAAUCCCACCCUCACCG
rnacentral:tRNA from 1 species